GGCAGGACUCCUGCUUAAACCUCUUGCUCUAGAGCUUCCUUGAGGCCGGCCUCCCAAACCUAGCUCUCGGCCAGUGUGGGUAAAUCAUUUCCCCAAACCAGGGAGGCCGAGAGCCGCUGGGAGAUCGGGGUCAAGGAGGCCAGGCUGAGCCCGCGUUAGGGCAGCGGGGCGGUGGGAAGAGGCCAGGGGCUGCCCGGGGUCAGUGAGGCCUGAAGGGCUGGUGGGCGGGUGUCCCUCCCUGAAGAGGCCACUCGGCCCGGGGCUGCCUGGAACCCGCGGCCGAGCAGGAGGGCUCCAGGGGCGGCGAGGCCUAGGCGAGCCCAGCCGGGCGAGGCCCCGAGAGGCUCGGCGCGGGGCGAGCAGCCGACGCC
rnacentral:lncRNA from 1 species